rnacentral:lncRNA from 1 species
ACUCCGAGAUCGCAAUACAAUAAAAGGCAACGACAACCAAAAUAUUAUUAUAGCAGUAGCACAAAUUUUAUAUUAACUCAAAGUAAUUGAAAAAAACAGAAAACUAACACAACAGACACAAAUGUUGUCUAUAAUAAAUUUGCAUUACUAUAUAAUCGAAAUAGAGUUAAAAAACAAAAUAUGAAAACAAAUAUUAACACACUAUAAAUAUA